rnacentral:rRNA from 1 species
GAUGAACGCUGGCGGCGUGCCUAAUACAUGCAGGUCGAGCGAACGGAUUAAGAGCUUGCUCUGGUGGAUUAGUGGCGAACGGGUGAGUAACACGUGAGUAACCUGCCCCGAACUCUGGGAUAACUGCUGGAAACGGUAGCUAAUACUGGAUACGACCAACGAAGGCAUCUUCUGUUGGUGGAAAGAAUUUCGGUUCGGGAUGGACUCGCGGCCUAUCAGCUUGUUGGUGAGGUAACGGCUCACCAAGGCGACGACGGGUAGCCGGCCUGGGAGGGUGACCGGCCACACUGGGACUGAGAUACGGCCCAGACUCCUACGGGAGGCAGCAGUGGGGAAUAUUGCACAAUGGGCGAAAGCCUGAUGCAGCAACGCCGCGUGAGGGACGACGGCCUUCGGGUUGUAAACCUCUUUUAGUAGGGAAGAAGCGAAAGUGACGGUACCUGCAGAAAAAGCACCGGCUAACUACGUGCCAGCCGCCGCCGUAA